UUAGAGCCAUCUGAUCUGUACAUCUGGCAUCAAUGGUCUUGGACAAAAGUUGGUCUUAUGUGAGAAUUUUGGCCAAGGCUCCCAUUUCCUGCUUGCAGCAACUCACAUUCCCGCUUGCAGCGGCUCGAAACAGCUUUGCCAAAAUUCCCAGCUCGCACCACGCUUGCGAACCCACCACCUCGCACCACCAUUGUCAUCCUUGCGAACCCAGCAGCUCAUUCCUCUUCUACUCUGGUUCCUCUUCUCCUCUUCUAGUUCCAGCCCAACCGUUCCAACCACCGCUAGAAAGUGAUUGAAAGGAAGCUCAUUUGGUUGCAAUUAGCUUUGCAAUAUUGGAAACAUGAAUGAUUUAUAGUUAGAAGCAAAUGAUGAUCCUAUAGUAGUUGAAGAAAUAUCCUUGCUAUCAUGUUUGAAAUCCAUUGAUGAUGUUUACAUUCCCCAAGUGUUAGAAAACUGCAAACCAAAAGUUGGACAACAAUUUGAAUCGAUAGAUGAGGCACAUGAGUUUUACAUUAAAUAUGCAAAAGAGGUGGGGUUUAGUGUUUGUAGCAGUUGCACUAAGAGAUGUAAAGAUACGAAUGAAAUUGUGAGGAAAGAAUUUGUGUGUUAUAAGGAAGGAGUGUCCUCUACAAAGGAAUGUGAGAAAAAAAGGUGUCAGGGUAUGACAAGAGAAAGUUGUAAGGCAAAACUUGCUAUGGUGAGGUCAAAAUUGGGUAAAUAUGCCAUCAGUGUAUUUGUUGAAAAACAUAGUCAUCCAUUAUCAACCCCGCGAAGAGUGCAUUUAUUAAGGUCACAUUGUAGUGUGUCUAAAGCCAACAAAUCACUAUCCCAAACGUUUUCAACAGGAAAUGUGCCAACUCACCAACAAAUAAGUAUUCUUGAAUUUGAAGCUGGAGGUAUAGAGAAUAUUGGGUGUACGAAGAAGGAUAUCUAUAACCAUGAAGCUAAGUUGCGUAAUGAAUUAAGAGGACAAGAUGCUGAACUAUUGAAGGAUUAUUUCCUAACCGAGCAAGAAAGGGAUCCAUGCUUUUUUUUUUUUUUUAAAUAGAUGUAGAUGAUGAUGGUAAAUUGAAGCAUUGUUUUUUAGCUGAUUCGGUAUCUAGAAGAGCUGAUGGAUGUUUUGGUGAUGUAAUUGUAUUUGAUACAAUUUACAACACUAAUCGGUAUGGUAUAAUAUUUGCACCCUUGGUUGGGGUUAACAAUCACAGUCAAAUGGUGCUUUUUGCAUGUGCUUUUUUAAGUGAUGAAAGAACUGAAUUGUUUGUUUGGUUGUUUGAGCUAUUAAAGGAUAGUAUGCCUAUUAACAACCCAAAGAUGAUAAUUACCGAUCAAGAUCCUGCAAUGACAAAGGCUAUGGCUCAAAGCUUACCAAAUACAUUUCAUAGGUAUUGUAGUUGGCACAUACUUGAGAAGUUUUCCACAUAUUUAAAUGCAAUCACCUAUAGAGAUUUUUAUAAGGACUACCAAUAAUACAUUUGGGAAUCAGAAUGCCUUGAAGAGUUUGAAAGAAAAUGGGUGACUACCAUCGAGAAGGCAAGCCUAUAUGAUAAUGAUUGGUUGAAAUCAACAUUUGAGAUACAUUCAAGAUGGGUGCCCGCAUAUGUUAAUCAUAUAUUCUCAAUUGGAAUGUCAAGUAGCCAACAUGCAGAAAGCUCCCAUGCAUUUUUCAAGAAGUAUGUUUCAAAUAAAAACUCAUUGAUGGAUUUCAUACUUCAAUUUAGUAGGGCACUUGCACAUCAACGUCACAAAAAGUUAUGGGCUGAUCAUAUUGAUAUUAAUGAGAAGCCUAUUUUGAAAUUGCCAUUGGAAAUGGAAAAACAAAUACCCAAGAUUUACACACGCAAAAUUUUCCUUAAGUUUCAGGAUGAGUUAUGGCAUAGCUUACUAACAAUGCCACAACUUGUUCAUGAAAAUGAUAUUCACAAAAUGUAUGUGGUCGAGAGUAGUCCAAAUGGUGUGUUCAUAGAGUUCGGAAAAUUGCUUAUGAUAAAGUAUUGGACUAUGCAUCUUGUACUUGUAAGAAGUCUGAGAGUGAAGGAAUUCCUUGUAGACAUAUUUUGGCAUUCUUGCGACUCUUUGGUAAUAUGCGUUGCCAAAUCAAUAUAUCAUGACAAGGUGGACUAGAGUUACAAAAACUCAAAUAAUCUCCGAUAAGCAAGGUGUUGAGAUAAGUGGAAAACAAAGUUCAAUGUUGAUGUGGCGAGCAAAACUAUUACAACUUGCUUCGGAAGUCAUUGAUAAAGCCAUAAAAAAUGAAGAGGCAAGUGUAAUUGUGAAUGAUGGUCUUCAAAGUUUGCUAGACAAGAUUAAAUCCAUAGUUAUCAACAUGAAGAGUAGAGGCAUUUCUAAAAAAGGUAGUAAUGCUAAUGAUUCUAAAGCUUUGAAAGACCCAUCUCAAGUGAGGGCAAAGGGAUGUGGAAGAAGAUUAAAAGGGGGAAAAGAGAAGACAACGACUACCGCAAAGUAUAAAGGUCGACGUUGCAAUGGUUGUGGAAAAAUUAGGCAAUUGCACGACAAAAGAAACUAUCCAAUCCUCAACAAUUCGUAAGAAAAUGAUACAUUUAUUAUUAAUUAUUCUUAUGCAAUUAAAAUGAUCAUACCUUGUACAAACCAUGCUGCUGCUCUAUGUAGUUGAUAGUUUUACUUCUACAGGUAUAAAACUAAGUGGUUUCCUUAUCGUCUUCAACAUUUUCUUGGACUAACAUGCUGCUUAUCUAAUAACUUACUUCGUUUUGACAGGACUGCAUGAGAAAUAAGUUGGAAUGACCCCCUGGAUGUGAUAAAGUAUCUUGCAUCAGCUUGGAGGAAAUAGUUUUAUUUGUAGUUUGGUGUGGUUUUCUAUCCGAUUGAAAGAACUAUAAGCUUAGUUAGUAAAAUAUGGUUGUGUAAUGAUAAUAGACUCCGUACCUUCUUAUUUAUUGUAAUAUGAAGUGUUUUUUGAAUCUUGGAAUGAAUGUCUGCUGGUUGGCUGUUUAUUUGUGUAAUGCAUGCCUCUCAUUGUAAUAUGUAAUUUGGACAGUAACUGUUUUGUUCAUGUAGAUGGUUGCCAUUGGUGGCAUCGGUAUUUAUUAUGCUGGGUACAUUCACUGUGGUGGUGUAGUGUAAGUCAGGACAUAAGAGUAUACUAUGCUAGCUUGUUCUUGUAUGGAUAGGGGUAUCUGCUAUGGUAUUCAGCCCAGAUGAAAGCACAAACAAGGACAAAGAAGGAUUGAAGCUGUGAAGAAGGAUUCUGCCAGCAUUGAUAUCCUAGUGGACUUGUAAAGAAGGUUUUUGAACUGGUGGUUACAGUUUGAAGUGCUGUUGGAGUUUUGCCUUUGUCUCUCAAGUAUGGUUUCUUGGUUGUUGAGAAGUAUGUAACUAUUUAUUGCUGCAAUUAUAUUCAUUUGGUAUCUUUUAUAGAGAAUAUUGUCUAUGUUAUGCUAAACUGCAACCACUUUGAUGCUAGUCAUCUUUUUUUGUUUUUUUAAUGUUGGUAAAAUACUGCUGAUUAGAUAAAUUAGUUUGCUUAGAAUUUAAUGUUGCCAGAAAAUGUGGUUGAAAAUUAAUGAGAAAUCUGCUGUAGGUGAAGUUCAAUGGUGAAAUACUAGUUUGCUCAACAGUUCUUAUGGUCUAUCUUCAAGUUAUCAUUUGGACAUGCUCACAAAUAUUUGAAUUUAUGUUCCUGCACUCAAUAAAUUUCUAAUAAGUCAAAAGGUAAAAAAGCUCUUCAUGAACUUGUACUAGACCAGUGACUUAACGUAGUAUGGCAACAUUGUUCUUCGAAUCAAAUCCUUCCUCGAUCUGCAAAGUUGGUUCCGCAACAACUAUACUCUUUCAUGUGAGGCAGCAAUGAAGUUGGACUGCAGCAUGCAGCUUGUGUUGCAAAGGAGCAUAAAUUAUGUGUGCAGGGAGCUUAUGUUGCAGAGGAGUAGAAAUUAAGUGCAACUUAUGCAGUCUUUAGUGACAGUUAAUUGUUCAUCUAACAAAGUUUUCAUUCAAUCAAGAAAUAGUUAUCAUAGUGUACUGAUGUAUGUUGUCAUUUUGGAACUUUUGAUCUUGUUAUCAGUUGCUUCUUUAUUUUAGUAUCUCUGUGCUUUUAUCUUCA